GUUGUUUUGGCAGAGUAGUGCCAUAGAUUUAGAAUCUAUAAAUGUAAUUUAAGUUACAAAUAACA
rnacentral:tRNA from 1 species